rnacentral:rRNA from 1 species
CGAAUGCUGACAUAAGUAACGAUAAAGCGGGUGAAAAGCCCGCUCGCCGGAAGACCAAGGGUUCCUGUCCAACGUUAAUCGGGGCAGGGUGAGUCGACCCCUAAGGCGAGGCCGAAAGGCGUAGUCGAUGGGAAACAGGUUAAUAUUCCUGUACUUGGUGUUACUGCGAAGGGGGGACGGAGAAGGCUAUGUUGGCCGGGCGACGGUUGUCCCGGUUUAAGCGUGUAGGCUGGUUUUCCAGGCAAAUCCGGAAAAUCAAGGCUGAGGCGUGAUGACGAGGCACUACGGUGCUGAAGCAACAAAUGCCCUGCUUCCAGGAAAAG